rnacentral:rRNA from 1 species
AGAGUUUGAUCCUGGCUCAGGAUGAACGCUAGCGGGUGGCUUAACACAUGCAAGUCGAGGGGCAACAGGUUGUAGCAAUACAAUGCUGGCGACCGGCGCACGGGUGCGUAACGCGUAUGCAACUUACCUUUAACUGGAAGAUAUCCCAAAGAAAUUUUGAUUAAUACUCCAUAACAUCACGAGAUCUCAUGUUUUUGUGAUUAAAGCUCCGGCGGUUAAAGAUAGGCAUGCGUCUGAUUAGCUAGUUGGUGAGGUUACGGCUCACCAAGGCGACGAUCAGUAGGGGGCCUGAGAGGGUGAACCCCCACACUGGUACUGAGACACGGACCAGACUCCUACGGGAGGCAGCAGUGAGGAAUAUUGGUCAAUGGAGGCAACUCUGAACCAGCCAUCCCGCGUGAAGGAUGAAUGCCCUAGUGGUUGUAAACUUCUUUUAUAUGGGAAUAAACCUGGGUACGUGUACCCAGCUGAAGGUACCAUAUGAAUAAGGACCGGCUAACUCCGUGCCAGCAGCCGCGGUAAUACGGAGGGUCCGAGCGUUAUCCGGAUUUAUUGGGUUUAAAGGGUCCGCAAGCGGACUAUUAAGUCAGUGGUGAAAGCCUGCAGCUUAACUGUAGAACUGCCAUUGAUACUGAUAGUCUUGAGUGUGGUUGAUGUGGGCGGAAUAUGACAUGUAGCGGUGAAAUGCAUAGAGAUGUCAUAGAACACCGAUUGCGAAGGCAGCUCACAAAGCCAUUACUGACGCUCAGGGACGAAAGCGUGGGGAGCAAACAGGAUUAGAUACCCUGGUAGUCCACGCAGUAAACGAUGAUUACUCGAUGUCGGCGAUAUACUGUCGGUGUCUAAGCGAAAGUGUUAAGUAAUCCACCUGGGGAGUACGUUCGCAAGAAUGAAACUCAAAGGAAUUGACGGGGUCCCGCACAAGCGGUGGAGCAUGUGGUUUAAUUCGAUGAUACGCGAGGAACCUUACCUGGGCUUAAAUGUAGUUUGACCGAUCUAGAAACAGGUCUUUCGCAAGACAAAUUACAAGGUGCUGCAUGGCUGUCGUCAGCUCGUGCUGUGAGGUGUCGGGUUAAGUCCCAUAACGAGCGCAACCCCUAUCUUUAGUUGCCAGCGAGUAAUGUCGGGGACUCUAAAGAGACUGCCGGUGCAAACCGUGAGGAAGGUGGGGAUGACGUCAAGUCAGCACGGCCCUUACGUCCAGGGCUACACACGUGCUACAAUGGCAAGUACAGAGGGCAGCUACACCGCGAGGUGAUGCGAAUCUUCAAAGCUUGUCUCAGUUCGGAUCGAAGUCUGAAACUCGACUUCGUGAAGCUGGAAUCGCUAGUAAUCGGAUAUCAGCAAUGAUCCGGUGAAUACGUUCCCGGGCCUUGUACACACCGCCCGUCAAGCCAUGGAAUCUGGGGGUGCCUGAAGUCGGUAACCGCAAGGAGCCGCCUAGGGUAAAACCGGUAACUAGGGCUAAGUCGUAACAAGGUAGCCGUACCGGGGGGUGCGGCUG